GUUUUCAGGAAACGAUGACGAAUUACAGCAAACUACAACUUCACACCUCACUAACCACGAAGAUAUACAUCCAAAUAUCCAAUACACAAGGAAACCGAGAUGAGAUUGCUCCUCAAGAUGGCUCAAAAUCGGGCUGUAACCUGGGAGAACAACGAUUUGAAGUCUUUUGUUGGUGUGCCUGUGCCUUCAGGCUUUGAAGCCAAAUCAAAUGCCUUGAACUUUG
rnacentral:misc_RNA from 1 species